rnacentral:rRNA from 1 species
UACGUAGGUGGCGAGCGUUGUCCGGAUUUACUGGGCGUAAAGGGAGCGUAGGCGGACUUUUAAGUGAGAUGUGAAAUACUCGGGCUCAACUUGAGUGCUGCAUUUCAAACUGGAAGUCUAGAGUGCAGGAGAGGAGAAUGGAAUUCCUAGUGUAGCGGUGAAAUGCGUAGAGAUUAGGAAGAACACCAGUGGCGAAGGCGAUUCUCUGGACUGUAACUGACGCUGAGGCUCGAAAGCGUGGUGAGCAAACAGG